rnacentral:lncRNA from 1 species
GUUGAUUGCCUUUUAAACAACCUGAAGAAGUUCCAAAUCCUCCACUCAGAUUCACUAGCUUCUGUCAUGGACAAACUUCAAUUAAUUCAGAAGGAAUUUGAGAACUUGCAACCUUUUCUACAAGUUGUUGCAGAAGAGCGACACAAUGAUCUCGACGAAAUUCAACAUUGUGCUACACAAUUGAUUGGCAAAGCACAUGAGGUGGAAUAUAUAGUUGAUGCUUGAAUAAGCAAAAAAGCUCCUGAACUCCCAUCUUGUUGGUGAGACUUUGAUUCCCCACAUUGUGAUUCUUCCUCAUUUCCCCUUCCCUUACCAAUUUUUUUUUUUAAAAAUAAAAAUUUAAAAUAACAAUACAGUACAAUAUAAUUGAUAUCAACCAUCCAAACAAGGUGCAACGGGUUGUCUGGUAGCUGUAUGAGAAACAAAUUAUCCAUAUGUUAAUUUUCGUAUAAUUUAUAUGAUGUUUCAUAGGUAGAUAAAUUAUAACUUCGUAUAAUUUAAAGACUAACUUUUGACUCAUAAGUUAAAAAUUAUAACUUGUGAUUUUUUUAACAUUUUACCUUAAAAUUAAGUGCUUAUAAGCACUUUAAUAGUUUACCUAAAUUAACACUUCAAAAGUCAUGUAUAAGAACAAUGUUAAAUAAAAUGUAUUAGUAAUGCUUGCAUCAAUUAUACAUAGAUUAUUUUUAUGCAUUGUUUUGGUUUGAUGCAUUAAAAAUUUACAAAGAUAUGUUUCACUAUUAUGAUGGAAAAGAUGUAAAAGAAAAAAAAGAUUUUGAGGGGCAAUUGAGUGAUUAAACAUGCUAAUGCAUGCAUUAAAACGAUUGCAUUGCGAAUAUUUAGAAAUCCAUGGUAUUAGUAAUACACAGUUAUACAUAGAUUAGAAAAGAGUAGCAAACAAAGUAGUAGUAAUAGACAAGGGUAAUGCAUGCAUUAUUUUUCUAAAUAACGACAACUAAAGGCGAGAAUGGAUAAUAAGUAGCAAGUAGAGGUCAUAGCAUAGAGUCUAUUCUGGCAGGCAAUCUUGUGAAGAAAUUGAGUGGAGCAGAUGGUAGGUUGUGAUGGAACCAUGGAUGUCUUAACACAUAAAAUCCAGUGACAAGAAUCACAACUCGAAAACCCAUGAAAUAGAGAACAAUGACAGCAAUCAAGCAGGAAAUAACAAACAGUUUGGUCGCUCUAGGGUCUCUCCAUGACAGCAAAGAGUCCAGCCUCUCCAGUUGAUUAGCUAUGUCACCAGCCACGUUCUGAAUACUUCCAGCAAUACUUUUCAAACGGUCAUACCUUAUCCGAACAAUAUCAGUUGGACGUAAAGUAGGGAAAGUAUCAAACUCCUCGUCCAGUUCAUCAGGAUGAACAUCAUCAGCACAAGAAAGACGAAUGUCCAUGAAGGGAGGAUGCCUAGGCCUAUAUCUAUAGUUCCAAACUACGAUUAAGGAGAGCGAGAGGAAAAUGGUAGGCAGAAUACACUCCGGAUAUAGAACUAGUAUCAAAUACAAGACAUGGAUCACAAGAGUCGUAAUGGGAUUUUUCCAAUUGCAAAUUUGAUCAAACCAUUUCCAAAUAGCAAUUAAUCCACCUAAAAACAUCCAUAAUUCUUAAAAAGUUGGCUCUGAUUUUCCUCAUACUCCACAUGUCAGACUUGACAUCUAACAUAUACUCCACUAUCUCUUUCCUCAAAGGCGGCUCAGCACGACUCAACCACAUAGAGACCAUCUGACUAGCCUGACGCCUCAAUUUGUCCAUCUUAGUUUGUCUGUCAUUCCAACUACCUUCAACAAUUAGUGGAUGAAUAUAGUGCAUCUUGGGUAACAGCGGCUGAGAGAACAAAUGCAUCAUAUUCAUUAACGAUGAGAAAGUAAACCUAACUGCCAAGUGAAUUUCGCCCAUCUUCUUUACCCCAGUAGAUUCAAAGACCAAUAGCGGAUAAGAAUUUGUGUAGACACAAUCUGUCUCGAGAGCUGAAAGACGGAUCCUGACCUUUCCAAUCCUCGAGUCCCUAGCCCGGCCUCCAGGUUUAUCUCCUCCAUGUAGAUGACAAUUAUCAAAUACACCAAUGGUUAUGACAGUGCAGGGAUCAAAUACUUCCCAAGUGUAUUGCUCGUUCCACCUGGGAGCAAGGCUAUCUAUAAUUGUCCUUGUUCGGGCCCACUUGUGCCCAUAUUUGACAACACAAUAGGCAUUUGUCGAAACCCUCCCAUCCUUUGUUUUCAUCGGCGGUAGUCCCUGAGCAUUCAGAAUACCCAAUUCUAGGACACCAAUGCUGGAUUUCUUCAACUGUUUUGCAGUUGGUCUAAUAUCACCACUGUAGUUUGUUGGUUCAUAAAGAACAUGGUAGCCUCCUUCUAAAACUAGGCUCAUGUGAAUCCUGCUUGCAAAGUUUGUUUCCUUCUCCUUUUCUCCCUCAACAAUAACAUGCUUUUCAAGAUUAUACCACUUGCUGUUCAUAGGUCUGUGGUCCAACCUCCUCUCAAUGUACUGCAAAUGAAUAAGACAUUUUCCAAGUAUUACAUCUUUGUUUGGUGCAACUCUAUCUUCCACGCUCAAAAUCAAUGGCUCCUCAAAUGGUUCUGCUGCUACAAAAAUCAAAUCCUCAUUCCACAUGGGAUUAAUAGUCUUGCUCCUGGAAACUUUGGUUAUCAAUUCCUGAUUUCCGAGGAUGGCCUUCACGUAAACUUCUGGAAACCUACUUCUGUCACUGGAAAUUAAGUCCUGAGCCUCAAUCACAUUAACUCUAAGGUACCACAGCUUUGGUGAGAGGUAAACCUUAGACCUUAUAUUCGCAAGAGCAUCAGCACCACUGACAGUGGCUGCAUCCGAAUGCCAAGAUUCUGCAAAGGCUUCAUCAGCUCGAGUACCCAUCCAAACAGUCAUCAUCAACUCUCCGUUAACUUUGCUACGACUUCCGUCCUCCAAUCUAUACCACAGCGGAACAAAAGGACUAUCCGGGGGGACCCUUUUAGGGAUCUCAUUCAAAUCAAACAUAACACGACCAACAGAAUCAUCCUUAUCUUUCACGUUCACCUCAAGAACGGAAACCUGAGUCUGAUCCAUUGGAAAUGCAAACACCUGCUUCCAUUCAGGAUUCGUUUUCUUCACAAAAUGACGAGUUGUACCACUAUAGUUUCCCAGCCUAACCUCAACGUAAGGAUUAAGAUCCUUCCCAGGUAAAUAUUUCGCCUUCACCACCCGGACAUAAAGAUACUGCAUUUGCUCAACCAAAUCACAGAGCCAAGUAAGCAUAUCACCAGUAAUCUUCCCUUCUACUUCUCCACCACAAUUUAGCCAAAUGUCCAACAGAUAACAAAAAAAAUCCUAAAUAAUAUCUCUGAGGAACAACUCAAAACUACACUAAUACUCAAGAAACUUCAUAUAUAACACAAUCCAAGUUUGUUUUAUCCUAAUUCUAACUUAAGGUUUAAAAAGAACCUCAUGAAGGAUAACCCCAAACUGCCAAAAUCAUUCACAAUCUCAGAUCUGGUUCAGCUGAAUGCUUCACCCUGCAAAACAUUUUUUAAGCUUAAAAAACCAUAUUUAUACAAAUAAGAUAUAGCAAGUACAAUGAAUAAAGUUUAUCAACAAACUCAAAGGUGGUCAGGUGAACACCCUUCACCGAAAAAUUAUAUCGUGUAUAUAAGUAUAAAUUGUUAAAUAUCACACUUUGCGAACAGUUUUGGGCUAAAAUCAUCCUUGAAGUAUAACCCAAACUUAGUAUACAUCCUUAUACUAUAAUUAUGAACAAAAACAUCUUUUAACUAUACCAAACUUGACAACAAACAUCCUUCUGUUAAUUUUUGUUAAAAACCUAAGAGCUGAAAUUAAAAAAAUGUGUCACUGACAAUACUAAGUUGCCUUGUCUUCAAGUUGGAAAUACAAAACAACAAAAAUAUACUUAGGACCUGUUUAGAAGGACACCCUGGUAAUUGGAUUUGGUGUAAUUGAAUGUAAUUACAUUGUCUGUCCUGUUUGGUUGGACAGGUAAUUAGUAGGUCAAUAGGUAAUGGGUGUAAUUGGUAGGGUAAUUACACUCUACAAUUCACAAGCAGAGGUUGUGAAGUGUAAUUACCAGCUGAUUACUUUUUUAAAAAAAAAUUUAUUUCUAUUUUUAUUUUUUUGUUUUAAUUUUUUUACUUCUAUUAUUUUAAGUUUUUAUUUUAUUAUUAUUCUAAAAAAAAUUGAAAAUUUAUUUUUUAUUUUAUAUUAUUAUAUUUCAUUUUCUUCUUGUUCUCAACCUUACUUUACAUGAUUUUAUGCAUUUUUUUCGUAUUAUCUAUUUAUUUAUGCCAUGCUUAUUUUCUCAUUAGCAUAAUUUUAUUAGUAUUCUAAUUUUUAAAUUAAAAUAGAAUUUAUUGUUAAGUAAGGUUAAAGACUUACGUUUUCUUUUUUAAGAAAAAAAUAAAAAUAAAUAUAUUUAUGCAUGCUAUGUUCAAAUUUGCUAUAAGAGUAUCAUGUUAAAUUUUUUGUUUUGAAUUUAUAACUUAUGUUAUAUUUUCAGUUUCAUUUGUUUUAGUAAUAUUGAAUUCAUAUUGCACGUCAUUUUUUAAUUAAACUUGAUAGAUUAUCUUUUUGUCAAACAUUUAAUAAUUUAUGACAUUUUAUUUAUAUAUUAAUCUUUUUUAUCAAACAUGCAUUUCACGAUGUUCGUAGAAACUUCAUACUUGUAGUUUCUACGAUCAAUUCAAUUGAAAUAUAUUAAUUUGAAAAAAAUAAAUCAAUUAUUUUUUCAUAAUAUAGGUUAAAGAAUAUAUGUUUUAUAUCUUAAUUAUUUAAUUUAAUGUCAUUUAUAAAGUUUCUUAUUUGUCUAGUAUCAAUUUUUAAAUAAUUAAUUUUUUAUUUUUUAAAAAUUUAAUAUAAUUUUAUGAUUGCAAUUGUCCAUCCAAACAGAACAUGCGUAAUUACACUGUGGCAUCCAAACAGGACAUGUUACCAUAUAUUGUGGCAACCAAACAAGUCAGUGUAAUUACUAGACAGUGUAAUUAAUAGGAUGGUAAUUACUACCCUAGUAAUUACACCAAUUUCAAUUACCAGGUGGCUUUCCAAACAAACCCUUAGUAAAACAACACCAAAACCAACUGAGGCACACAAAGACAAGUUAUAGAAACCAGCCCUAGCUUCAGUUAUUCUUGAAAACAACUUAUUUGGUUGCUAAAGUUUAGAAGGACAGAAAAUUUUGUUUUUGAAGCCAAAAGCUCUGCUAAAUAUGGAAGAUGAUCCGGUGGGAAUUGAGAGGAAAUCAAUUCGAUAGAAUAUGGAGAUUUUGGGAAGUCACAUAUUUUUAUUUCAACUUUUCGUUUUUUAACAAAAGUUAACACAAGGAUGGUUAUUGCAAAGUUUUGGGUAGGUAAAAUUGUGAAAUUAGGUAUUAGACUUAACUCACACCUCAAAAACUAACAAAAGUUAACAGAAAGAUGGUUAUUGUAAAGUUUUGGAUAGUUAAAAUUGAAGUUUACAGAAGGAUGGUUAUUGCAAAGUUUUGGAUAGUUAAAAUUGUGAAAUUAGGUCUCAGACUUAACUCACACCCCAAAAGGAGGAGGAUUGCACAAGUUGCGUGGGCAAUUUUGGACAAUUUUGUUUUCGGGAAAAUUGUAUAAAAUAAAAAACUAUUAAUUUAAAUUAAAUGUUGUAACCAAAGUUUGAUUUAAUUGUAACCCGUAGCAAACAGUUGUCAUUCGCCUCUCUCCUUAGAUUUCUCGCUCGCCAGUCUCUCCCUCGCCUCUCUCACUUUAUACAAACACAAAUGUAUAAAUUGCGUUUGUGUUUGUAUAAAGCGAGAGAAAACUACAUAUACAAAUACAUAUAUUUUCGUCUUAUACACUUCUAAUUAUACAAAUACAGAUCUUCCUCAGUGCAGUUCUCUUCUGCCUUUCUCUCUUUCUCGCUUUUGUAUAAAGCGAGAGAGAGAGAUUUGAUAAACAAAUGUGUUUUAUUUCGAUUCAAUUGUAUACAAAUUCAAAUUUUAUGCAGAUAUGCAAACACAUAGAAUUGAAUUGAGAGGCUGCCAACGAUUUAUACAAACGAGAGGCUGCCAGCGAUUUAUACAAAUGAGAGGAUGCCAAUGAUACAAAUCUGAUGCUUCAUAGCACUCUAUAGCUACAACUUACAAAUAUAAUUUUUAUAUUUGCUAAUCCUAAAAUUUACUCUUUUUUAUUAUUUUUUUGGGCCCCAACAUAAGGUGAGAUGGGUCCUGCUCUGAUAUCAUGUGAAAUUAGGUUUUAGGCCUAACUCACACCUUAAAAGUUAGCUCAGAGGAAGCAAGAUUGACCAAGCCUUAUAAGUAGUUCAUCCAUCUCAUUAACCACAAAUGUGAGACUUUUUGCUUUUAACAAAAAUAUGUUUUUUUGAUUCGCAAUUAUAGUAUAGGGAUUUAUCCUAAGUUUGGGCUAUAAUUCAAGAGUGAUUUUAGCUUAAAAGUCCCCUUAACAACAAGGUGGUACAUCCCAGUGGUUAAAGGCUCUACGGAAAUGCCCAGACGUAGUGUGAGCGUUAAAUUACUUUCUAAAUAAUAGUUAAUAAAUUCGUUAUUUUUGAAAUAAUUCAAAUUUCAAUGAAUUUGACUUUGACUUUGACUUUCCAUUUCUUUUCAUUAAAAAUUUAAAAUAAAACUUAUACAUAAUUAUUUAAUUUAAAGUUAAUAAGCAACUUCUAAAAAAAUUCUAUAUCAUUGCUAAAAUUGAAUAAAAGAAGACCUCGUUUGAUUCUGCUUCCUUUUUCAUGUUUCGUUGUUAUUGUUGUUUUCAUCAAGGUCGAUGAAAGCUUGAAAUGUAAAAAUGAUUUCAUUUUAAGUUGAAUUUACUCCUACUCCCUCCUUUUAUUUUUCUGCUAUUUUGUUCACUUUAUAUCAAAUUAAACAAAAACAUUAUACAAUUUGAUUUUCAAAAUUUUGGUACGUUUAUUCAUACAAAAAUAUUAUUAUUACGCAGUGUGAAUUUAAAAUUUUUAGUGCACCCAUUCAUCAAAAAAAAAAAUUGCUUAUGUUAUUUUUGAACAUGCUUCAUGAAAUUUCUAAUUCCCCACUUAGCCAACUCAAUCAAAAAAUACCCUUCUCCCAUACCAUAAAAAGAGGGAAAAAAUAAUUAAAACUUGCUAAUCUCAAGAUUAUAGCUCAACAAAUACCAAGAACGUCAAAAAAAAAAAAGAUUUUUCAAAAAGAUAUUUAUAAGUAACUUAUAAAUUCGAAACUAAAAAUUAUAAAUCGGUAACACUUAACUUUUGACCCUUUUUUUGGGGUGUGUUGUCAGCCUUAAAGCUUUUUGCGUUUACAAAUACUUCUAAAACUUAAAAGAAAAAAAAGAAGAAGCUAAAUAUCACUUAAAAUAAGCUAAUUCAUAUACACUUGUUUAAUUUUUCUACAUGAAAUAAAUAAAUAUUAAUUAAGAGAAAUGAAUAUACCUUGAAGGAGGGUUCAUGGGAGGUGAGUGCAAGAUGGUAUUUUUGCUGAUAAGUUUCUAAAGAUUGGAAUUUUGAGUAGAAAAUAACAAUUAGGUUUUGGUUGCUUUUUGGUAUCAAAGUGAGGGAGAAUGGUUAAGAGAGAGAGAAAAAAAGUGAAGAGACAACGAAAAAUUAUAUGAUGGGUUUAACAUGGUAGGUGAGGGAUUAUUUUUUAAUAAAAAAUGUGUGUGCCUAGAAAUAAGUUAUAAAUAAUUUUUUAGAGAUAAAAAACCAUCCUUACCAACGGAUCACUUAUAGUUUCAGAUCUAUACCAAUGCUCUAUCACAAAUUCUCCCAACUGGCGGCGGCAAUCCGGUGGCAAAUCGAUGGUGGACUGGUAAUUUAUGAUUUCAUUAUGUAUUAUUGAGAUGCGAAAUUUUUUGAAUAAGUAUCCUACAUCUAAUUAAAGUGAUGAUUUGGAGUUGAAUAAUUAAAAUUUAAUUACAAACAAAUAAGACUAUUAAACAUAAAAGCAGUAGUUCAUUUUUUCCUAAUUUUGGAUAUAAGAAAAAUAGAAAAUCAUAAUUUUGGAUAUUCUAGAGUCUUUUAGUGAAAGAUAAAAAGUUCAAGUAUUUCUGAGUCUUAGCACUUUUAGUUAUGUGAUUAUAGAAAGAUUUUAAUUAUGAGAUAGAUUUGAUAUGACGGGGAAAUUCUUCAAAUAAGAUAGGUAAAACGCUCUCUUCGAAAGAUACAUACACUACAUCAAAAAUUAUAUUUAGCAACAAUUAGAUAAUGGUAAUAGUUUAAUUGCCGCUACAUAGAUAUAGUUUUAGACACUCUUUGUAAAUGUAUCUAAAGCCUAUAGCGACAUUAGAUCUAAUAAUAAUUAACUAAUGUGAGUAAAGACUUUAACACUCUUUAUUAAUGUGUAUAUUCCGUUAAAAGUAGUUGUUUUUUUUACAGUGAUACUUGUACUGCUUCUACCUCUCAAGGACUUACUAAUAUGUAUAUUUAUUGCGGCUAAAAGUUAUUUUUUGUUGUAUUGAUACUUGUACUGCUUCUGCCUCUCAAGGACUUUAUGCAUUGAACUUCCUUUAUAUCUUUAGUAUAAACAACUAUCUGUUGGUUGCAAUCAGUAUGAAAGCAUCUGAGUUGCUCUCUCCUUCUUCCUCUUUGCAGAAGCAUCACAGAUUCUUUUAGUCACCAACUCACUGAGAGAAGAGAUGAAUUGGGAAAAUUCGCAACGACUUUUCAAUAUUGUAACCAUCCCUAAAAUUUCGAUAGACAAAACUCCAGCUCUUCACACUGGAACGCGAAUUCCACAAAAUUUUCAUUAGCUUGCAGAGAUUCACAGAUGAACCUAACAUGCUAGAUGUCAACUCAGAAAGUCCAAACUCUGUUUGAAGAUGCUGCAUUUAUCCUUUCUCCACUGUACCUAACUGACAACUUUGAUGUCUGUGCCUCUGAGGUGCAAAACAAGAUUUUGUUGAUCAAGAAGGAAAUAAGUGCCAAAUACUCCUUUCCUAAAAUAUCAUUACAACUUUCAGCCAAGUUUGUUAGUGAUAUCAUCCAUUCUGUGCUAGAGAAUAUUGGUGGUCUAGUGAAGAUUCAUGAUCCAUAUUCACCUCUUUAUGUUCCCGAAACAGUAGUGGAACAUAUAGAAGAUGUUUCAAUGGAAUUGAAUUUGCUGCUAAAUUUCGUCUACUUUGUUUCAGAGAGGUUCCUAGAGAAUCAGAGCCAACAUCAUAUUAUUUUCUUCACUCAUGUUUUAGCUGUGUCUGUCCACACAUCGAUGCUUCUCUGGUUGUAUUUACCGGACUUGGAUCCUGAGCAAAUGAAUGUUAUGCUUUCUGAUUUCUUGCGAAUGAGGAUUAAGCCGAUUCAACCAUGCAUCUGCAAGAUCUAUCUUGAUGUCUUGCUAUCAUUAAAGUCGACAAUACAAUCAGGAUGGUAUCCCAACAUCCGAAAUGAGGAUGCAGUUGACAGCGAAGGGGGAUUUUUGGAGUACCAUCCUACACAAUAUGGUGGAGGUACCAACUAAUAGUAACUCUAGUCAGAGAGUUGCUUUGAAGGAUCACUUGGAAAUCCUUCAAAAGAUGCUCAACCUUUUUGAGAGCCAAUAUCUUCCGUGUGCCAAUAAAAGAUCUUGAAUUUCUCUUCGAGAUAUAGAGAUUUGUGGUUAUUGAUUGUUGGACUUCUGGUAUACUCAUUAUAUGAAGAUGAGGAGGAGAAGGAAGACAUGGCACCAGGAGGAGUGAACAUCCCACAAUUUCUUGAUUUGUCAAGCAACAUUCAACGUCUAAGCAUAGACAUCUACCUCACCAUUCGGAAGGCGUUCCAAUCUAAUUUGCCUAGGAUUCAUGGACUAGGCUAUGUUGAUUGCCAUUUAAACAACCUGAAGAAGUUCCAAAUCCUCCACUCAGAUUCACUAGCUUCUGUCAUGGACAAACUUCAAUCAAUUCAGAAGGAAUUUGAGAGCUUGCAACCUUUUCUACAGGCUGUUGCAGAAGAGCGACACAAUGACCUCGACGAAAUUCAACAUUGUGCUACACAAUUGAUUGGCAAAGCACAUGAGGUAGAAUACAUAGUUGAUGCUUGUAUAAGGGAAGAAGCUCCUGUCUGGUGCCUCGAGCAUUGGAUCAUACAUAUCAUGGAGGAGAUUACUCUUAUCAGAGAAGAGGUAGCAGAGAUCCGUGAAAAGAAAAUGGAUUUGGUAGCAUUGAACACUGUCCCAGUUCAUACAUCAAAUUUGGCAAGGUCUCCAAUGAUGAAUGAAGAAAUUAUUGGUUUUGAGGAUGUCAUAGAAAAGUUAAGAGACCAACUAAUAAAAGGCAAGAAAGGGCGCGAUGUUAUGUCAGUUGUUGGUAUGCCAGGUCUAGGCAAGACAACUUUGGCCUACAGACUCUACUAUGACAAGUCAGUCGCUUCGCACUUUGAAAUUCGUGCACAGUGUUGUGUGUCUCAAGUAUAUUCACGUAAGGACUUGUUAAUAGCAAUUUUACGUGAUGCUAUCAGUGAGAACUUUGAGUGUAGAGAAAAACAAGCUGAUGAAUUAGCUGAUCUUCUUCGCAAAACUUUAUUUUCCAAAAGAUAUCUCAUCCUUGUUGAUGAUGUGUGGGAAACUAGUGUGUGGGAUGAUCUAAGAGGUUCUUUCCGUGAUUCCAAUAACGGAAGUAGAAUUAUUCUAACAACGCGGGAUCAUGAAGUUGCCAUGUACACUAAAAUUCGAAGUGAUCCCCUUCUGCUUCGUAUGUUUAACAGUGAUGAAAGUUGGGAGUUACUCCGAAAAAAAGUGUUUGGUGAAGAAAGUUGCUCUCCACUCCUAACAGAAAUUGGGCAACAAAUAGCAAAUAAGUGUGGUCAACUGCCUCUUUCAGUUGUUUUGGUGGCUGGUAUUCUGGCUGAGAUGGAGAAGAAAGUAGAAUGUUGGGAACAAUUGGCCAACAAUUUAGGUCCUCACAUUCACAAAGACUCAAGGACCGUUAUAGAACAAAGUUAUCAGAUUUUACCCUAUCGUUUGAGGCCUUGCUUUCUUUACUUUGGAGCACUUUUAGAGGAUAGUGUGAUUAGUGUUCCAAAGUUAACACAGUUGUGGAUCUCAGAAGGAUUCGUAAAAAGUUGUGAAGGCAAGAGAUUGGAGGAUAUAGCAGAAGGCUAUUUGGAAAAUCUUAUUGGAAGAAAUCUAGUGAUGGGAACCAAGAGGAGUUCUCGUGGUAAGAUCAAAGCAUGUCACAUUCAUGACCUAUUGCAUGAUUUCUGCAAGGAGAGAGCAAAGGACGAUAUGCGUCUCCUAUGGCAAAAAUGGUAAUAUACCAAUCAUUGCUACUCUUUUCACUUAUAUUGACAUUUAAUCAUAUAAUUUUACUAAUUUCUGUAUAUAUUUGCAGGGAUCAAAAUGCCAAUCCGUCUUCUCGCCUUUCUGGUCACAAGCAACUAGCUCAUCGCAUGUGCAUUUAUGGUGAAGGGUAUCGUGCUGGAGAUUGGAGCUCGUGCUUGUCACAUGUUGUCUCUAUAAUUUUGCAUAACAAUCGUCUUUCAGUUGGCCUCGACUCGCACAUUUUCCACAGCUUCAAGUUUCUAAAAGUGUUAGAUAUGGAGUUCACUAGAAUUAGUUCUUUCUCAUUUGAUCUAGUCUACCUCAGGUAUUUUGCUGCAGAAACGUCUCGCUUUUCAAACAAAGCCGGUUGUCGGGAACUUGAAACUCUGAAAUUCAAAUCUCUCAGUGAAAUGUCACUACCCAUUACACUCUGGGAGAUGGAUAAAUUGAGACAUGUGGAUAUUUCCGAUUGCAGCUUCACCAGUGAAAUUUCAAGAGAAUUGAUUGAGAACUCCAAAGACCUUCAUGAUCUGCAAACUCUAUCCACUCCGUGUUUUUCUUGUGCACAGGAAGCGGAAUUGAUUUUGAGAAAAACACCUAAUCUUCUGGAACUGAGAUGCAAAGUCAAGGGUGUUGAUUACUUUCAGCGCUAUGUAUUGAACUUUCCAGCACGGAUUGAAACGCUCAAGAUUCAUCUUAGCUACACACCUGACACUAAAACAAUCCCCUUCCGCAUCUCCGCGCCAACUCUCACAAACUUGACACUGAAGAACUUUUACCUAUAUCAUCAGCAUUUAUCAGAAAUUGGUUCACUUCAGAACCUUCAAGUGCUCAGUCUGAAAGGUAUUUCCUUUAAAACUUAUAAAUGGGAAGUGCGCAAUGACGAGUUCCCUCAGCUCAGAGUCUUGAAAUUACAUGCUGGAAAAGUUCACUUUGAAAAUUGGUCUGUCGCGGAUGAUGCCUUUCCUAACCUUGAACGCUUGGUUUUGAGGGAUUGCAAAUUUCUUAAGGAGAUCCCUUCUUGGUUUGGAGAAAUCUCUUCUCUGAAGUCCAUUGAGGUAAGGAAUUGCAAUAAAAAUGUUGACAAGUCAGCCAGUGAUAUCAGGGAAACACAAGUUGAAGAUUACCAGAAUUCCAAGUUCGAGGUCUUUAUCACCAGAGAGAAUAACAAGUCAGAUUCAGGUACGCAACUCAUAAAAUUUAACUAUGACCAUUCUAAAACUCUGUGAAUUCAUUUCUUCUGUUACUCUAACUUCCUUUUUUAAAGGUAAAAUUCUUGAAAUAGCACCAAGGUUUGAAAUACUAUUGUGCACCUCGACUAAUUCUAUAGGUACCUACUACCUCUAACCGCACAUGUACUAGAUAACUGAUGAUCAAAAGAAAUCAACUAGUGACUUCAGAAGAGACCCAUGAGGUCUCAAGUUCAAAUCCAGUAGAGGCAAAAACACUAUGCGAUGAUGGGGAGAGUUACCAGGUACCUAUGUUGGUGGGAGAAAGCAGGUACCCCUAGAAUUACUCAAAAGUGCGCACAAGCUAGCCCAAAUACCAUGGUUAAUUAUACCAAAAAAAAAAAAAUCAUUGUGCUCUUACUUUCUGUUUGGGUAUGUUAUUGUAGUAGUACAACAUUUUUGAGCAAUUAACUCAUUGGAACCUUUUCUUUUUUAACAGAUUAUGAAGACUAGAGUUGUAUCAGGAGCUGUUUAGAAGAUCAGUAUGUACUUUUUUUAGAAGCUUAAUUAAGAAAUCAUGUACUUUUGGUCUUGAAUGUAUUGAGUAACAUUGAAUCCAUGUUGGACUAUAGUUAUUAUAUGAGCUAUUUAUAAUAUUUCUAAAUUUCUUUUUCUUCUUACGUUAGUCCAUUUACACUCAUCUUUCAUGCUAUGGAGGAAGAACUUUGACGUAACCGGUAAAGUUGUUGUCAUGUAACUAGAAGGUCAUGUACGAGUUCGACAUGUGGAAAAUACCUCUCGCAGAGAGUUUAGUGCAUUAGGCUACCCUAAUUUUGUACUCGUUUUGUAUUCCUUCCAAUGCCUGCUACUCAAACCCUCUAUCCUAUCUCGGGGUCACGUCAAGUAGAUUCCACUUUAGAGAUAAGUUUUUUAUCUUAAUCGAUCAAAAUAGAUUAAGACCGUCAAAAGUUACUUAGUCUCAUUCGAGAAUUUAAUCUCCUUAGUGUGACAAAGAGCCCAUUCAAUAGCAUUUGUGCCAGCUUGAAAGGACGUACUACCAUGAUAUCUAAUGCUCUCUCAAUGUCAAUAGGGACUCAACAACUUUUGGUAAAAUAUAAUAAAAGUAACGUCGAUAAGGAUUCAACGACUUUUUGGUGAAAUAAAAUAUAUAAAAGUAAAGUAACUACUUCCUAAAAUUAUCCAAUUUGUAGACCACAAGUUACCUUUGUCUAUGAACCUUUUUUGUUAACUUUAAUGAGUAAUUCAUUUGUUUAUUUCCCUCUUGUUAUUAAAGCUAAAGAAGUCUGGCAAUAAUUUAUACAACAUUUGGUAUGGUAGAAAAAAAAGUUAUUUAUAUAUAAAAUUAAUACAAGAUUUGGUUGACAAUUUAGUAACCCACAAUCCACAUAACUAAUAUUAUGAGUGAACCUAUAUAUUAUUUUAUGCAUGAUAGAAGGUGGAAUAACUAAUACAUGAAAAACUAAUUCCAUAUAAAAUAAUGGCUUAAGUCAUCAGUGGCCCCUUAAAGUUGUCCGCAUAAUUCACUUAGACACCUCAUCUAAGGCUUGUAUCUAUUGAACACCUCUACCAUUCUGAAUUUGAACCAUUUGAACAUUUUUUUGAGAAUAAGCCAAAAGUAGAAAAUGUGUGAAAUACACUCGCGCUGACAUGUCAAUUUGACUAAUUAUAUACUGACAUGUGUAAUUUUUUAAUCCAAAAAAUUAUUUAAACAUUAUAUUAAAAGUAAAAAAAAAAGGAAAUUAUUUUAAAGUUAAAAAAAAAUGAAAAAAAACUUGAACUUAAACCACCCCACUUCCCCUGCUAUCCACUGAAGCCCAACUCACAUUUCCCUCUACAAUACCACCCCGUUAAUGGCGACCCUCCCUCUCCCUGUACAGUGCCAUCUCCAACACGACAAAUCUUCUUUUCCAUUAGCCUAUUUUUCAAUUAUAACUUUCUUCUUCGUCUCGUUUUAGGUAGAGAAAGAUGGGGAAAAAAAUCUCGCCGGAAAAUUAAUAAGUUCCGAUUGUCAUUGUCGGAAAAAAUGGAGUUAUUUCGAUUUUUUUGUGUUUCAUAAGAACAUCCUUACAUUCUGCCAAUAUACAUCAAUUUAAAGUCAAAACAACACAUUCAGGACAAAUCAAAAAACUUCAAUAAAAAUUUGACCAAAGCAAAUAAUAAAUAAAAAUUUAACACCAAAUUACUAAAUUAACAGCAAAGAGACAGACCCAAAACUUAAAGCACUUUACAAAUUAAACAUGAUGAAAAUGACGGUGAUAAUGGUGGAAUGGUGGUCAGCCAAUCCUAAUAUGGAGGACAACGGAGGAAGGGAUGCCAAAGAAGAUGAAGAAGAAAUAAUAUUUUUUUUCCAAAAAAAAAACGCUCAAUUUAAAACCUUUCACGCGCCUAAAGGGUGUGAAUCACAAACAAUGUGCCACCUAGGCAAAAAAUGUUCAAAUGGAUCAAAUUCAGAAUGGUAGAGGUGUUCAAUAGGUACAAACCUUAGUUGAGGUGUCUAAGUGAAUUAUGCAGACAACUUUAAGGGGCCUCAGAUGACUUAAGUCUAAAAUAAUACAUUGGUUCACUCAUAACUAAUUAAUACAUUACUAAUAUGUACAUAACUCUAACCAGCUACCAAACGAUAAUUGUGUGAGGUAAAUUUGGUUAGUUUUAAUUGACUAUUGAGAUGCCCAUCACAUGUUUGAUAAAAUGCCUGAAAGAGAUUGAAAGCAUGUGUGUGUGUGUCCAUUUGCAUCCCCUUAAUUAAUAUUCAUGUGAUCAAGGGUGUUUGAAAAUUGAAACUGCAGUAUAUAUCUCUAAGAAGUUGUUUUUGAUCGAUAUUCAUAGUAUUAUCUUCUAUAUGCAUAGUAUAAUAUUUCGACAAAGGGUGUUCGAGUGACCACCCUUAGGUCAAUGUAGCUAUGCGAAAAGCAAUAGAUCCCAUGAAUGCUAGAACAUUUGGAAGUUUUAUCAUCCUUAGUAGCUGAAAUCCAUACUGUAUCACUCGUCGAAGCCAGAGAUUGAUCUAAGUAUUCAUUUUUUGAGUGAUUCUAUACUCUUAAUUGUUUAGUUCCUUAUAUUGUGCUCCUUGCAAGUUGAACUAUAAUUAUAUAUAUGAACUGUCUUUAGUAUUUCUAGGCUUUUAUUUUCUUCUUUUAAUAGAUACUCUUCGAUUUGUGAACUAUAAACAUAUUGCAGCACUUUUAUUUACCGUUUUCUUGUGUGAUUAUUCAGAUCUAAUGAUUGUUUGAGCUUCUCUAAUCAGUUUUUUUUCCCUCCGUAGGAGCUCCCACUUUCUUUGCUCCCUUGGUGACUCGAACUCACAACGUUACUAUGGGAAGUGAGGGGUGUUUACCAUCCGAGCAACUCCCUCUUAUCAGUUACAUAUUAAGAAAAGGCUUAAUAGUUCGGGAUCCCCUGAACUUGACACCUUUUGUUCGGUGUACACCUGAACUAUUCUAAAUGGCCUAGUCUCAGCAAGUAGUUCUCUUUAUAGUCAGUCAAAACACUUCCAAGAAUAAAACUCUGUUACUUCCUAGAUUAUAAGUCUAGCUAUCUGAAUAGGGCCCAAGCUGGUUCAUACUUCUUAUCUUAAUAAUAAAGGUGAGUCAUCCUAGGAUUAGCAGUCAGAGAGAGAAUGCUGAGUUCACACGGGACACUAGCUGUUAAUUAAUCGGCUCAACUAAUUAAUCAUGUCAUCAAGUUGCUUUUAGUGUAUAAUAAUGAAUUGUUUAUCUUAUAAUGUGGGCAAUAAUGGAGUAGCAUAUUAAGAUAUAUUAUGCUUUUGUGACUUGAACAAACUUGCCAAUUCAAAAUUGAUUUUUAAGCUUAUGUCAGUGGCCCUACACUUGAGAAACUAGUGUGUUGUACAGUUGAUAAAAUGUUACUUAGCAUGUAAUGUCGUAGUAUCAAACAUCUGAGUUCAAAAUUCAUCACAGAUUCUUUUAGUCACCUACUUUUGAGAGAAGAUGUCUUGGGAACGAAUUCAACAACUUUCCGAUAUGUUAAACUUCCCUAAAACUUCAAUAGAUAGUGUCAUGCUCUUUACACUGGAACGCAAAUUCUGUGAUAUUUUCAUUAGCUUGCAGAGUUUCACAGAUGAACCUAACAUGCUGGAUGUCACUCGGAAAAUCCAAACUCUAUUUCAAGAUGCUGUAUUUGACCUUUCUCCACUGUACCUAACUGAGUACUUUGAUCUCUAUGCCUCUGAGGUUCAAAGCAAGAUUUUAUUGACCAAGAGGGAAAUUAGAGCCAAAUACUCCUUUCCUAAAAUAUCAUUACAACUUCCAGCCAAGUUUGUUAAGGAUAUCAUCCCUUCUGUGCUAGAGAAUAUUGGUGGUCUAGUGAAGAUUCAUGAUCCAUAUUCACCUCUUUAUAUUCCCGAAACAGUAUUGGAACAUAUAGAAGAUGUUUCAAAGGAAUUGAAAUUGCUGCUAAAUUUUGUCUGCUUUGCAGCAGAGAAGUUCAUAGAGCCUCAGAGCCAACAUCAUGUUAAUUUCCUCACUCAUGUUUUAGCUGUGUCCGGCCACAUAUCAACGCUUAUCUGGAUGUAUUUACCAGACUUGGCUCCAGAGCAAAUGAAUGUUAUGCUUUCUGAUUUCUUGCGAAUGAGGAUUAAGCCAAUUCAACCAUGCAUCUGCAAGAUCUAUGUUGAUGUCUUGCUAUCAUUAAAGUCGACAAUACAAUCAGGAUGGUGUACCAACAUCGGAAGUGAGGAUGUAAUUGACAGUGAAGGCAGGUUUUUGGAGACCAUCGUACACAAUUUGGUGGAGGUGCCAACUAAUAGUAACUCUAGUCAGAGAGUUGCUUUGAAGGAUCACUUGGAAAUCCUUCAAAAGAUGCUCAACCUUUUGAGAGCCAAGUUCUUGAUUUGUCACCGAGAGGAGUGAACAUCACACAAGUUCUUGAUUUGUUAAGCAACAUUCAACGUCUAAGCAUAGACAUCUACCUCACCAUUCGGAAGGCGUUCCAAUCUAAUUUGCCUAGGAUUCAUGGACUAGGCUAUGUUGAUUGCCUUUUAAACAACCUGAAGAAGUUCCAAAUCCUCCAGUCAGAUUCACUAGCUUCUGUCAUGGACAAACUUCAAUUACUUCAGAAGGAAUUUGAGAACUUGCAACCUUUUCUACAGGUUGUUGCAGAAGAGCGAAACAAUGACCUCGACGAAAUUCAACGUUGUGCUACACAAUUGAUUGGCAAAGCACAUGAGGUAGAAUACAUAGUUGAUGCUUGUAUAAGCAAAAAAGCUCCUGAACUCCCAUCUUGUUGGUGAGACUUUGAUUCCCCACAUCGUGAUUCUUCCUCAUUUCCCCUUCCCCUACGAAUUUUUUUUAAAAAUAAAAUAAAAAUUUAAACUAACAAUACAGUACAAUAUAAUUGAUAUCAACCAUCCAAACAAGGUGCAACGGGUUGUCUGGUAGCUGUAUGAGAAACAAAUUAUCCAUAUGUUAAUUUUCGUAUAAUUUAUAUGAUGUUUCAUAGGUAGAUAAAUUAUAACUUCGUAUAAUUUAAAGACUAACUUUUGACUCAUAAGUUAAAAAUUAUAACUUGUGAUUUUUUUAACAUUUUACCUUAAAAUCAAUUGCUUAUAAGUACUUUAAUAGUUUACCUAAAUUAACACUUCAAAAGUCGUUAGAUAAAGUGUAUAAGAACAAUGCUAAAUAAAAUGUAUUAGUAAUGCUUGCAUCAAUUAUACAUAGAUUAUUUUCAUGCAUUAAAAAUUUACAAAGAUAUGUUUCACUAUUAUGGUGGAAAAGAUGUAAAAAAAAAAGAAAGAUUUUGAGGGGGCAAUUGAGUGAUUAAUCAUGCUAAUGCAUGCAUUAAAACGAUUGCAUUGCGAAUAUUUAGAAAUUCAUGGUAUUAGCAAUACACAGCUAUACAUAGAUUAGAAAAGAGUAGCAAACAAAGUAGUAGUAAUAGACAAGGGUAAUGCAUGCAUUAUUUUCUAAAUAACGACAACUAAAGGAGAGAAUGGAUAAUAAGUAGCAAGCAGAGCUCAUAGCAUAGAGUCUAUUCUGGUAGGCAAUCUUGUGAAGAAAUUGAGUGGAGCAGAUGGUAGGUUGUGAUGGAACCAUGGAUGUCUUAACACAUAAAAUCCAGUGACAAGAAUCACAACUCGAAAACCCAUGAAAUAGAGAACAAUGACAGCAAUCAAGCAGGAAAUAACAAACAGUUUGGUCACUCUAGGGUCUCUCCAUGACAGCAAAGAGUGCAGCCUCUCCCCUUGAUUAGCCAUGUCACCAACCACAUUCUGAAAACUUCCAGCAAUACUUUUCAAACGCUCAUACCUUAUCCGAACAAUAUCAGUUGGACGUGAAGUAGGGAAAGUAUCAAACUCCUCGUCCAGUUCAUCAGGAUGAGCAUCAUCAGCACAAGAAAGACGAAUGUCCAUGAAGGGAGGACGCCUAGGCCUAUAUCUAUAGUUCCAAACUACGAUUAAGGAGAGCGAGAGGAAGAUGGUAGGCAGAAUAAGCUCCGGAUAUAGAACUAGUAUCAAGAACAAGACAUGGAUCACAAGAGUCGUAAUGGGAUUUUUCCAAUUGCAAAUUUGAUCAAACCAUUUCCAAAUAGCAAUUAAUCCACCUAAAACAUCCAUAAUUCUUAAAAAGUUGGCUCUGAUUUUCCUCAUACUCCACAUGUCAGACUUGACAUCUAACAUAUACUCCACUAUCUCUUUCCUCAAAGGUGGCUCAGCACGACUCAACCACAUAGAGACCAUCUGACUAGCCUGAUGCCUCAAGUUGUCCAGCUUAAUUAGUUUCUCAAACUGAUUACCUUCAACAAUUAGUGGAUGAAUAUGGUGCAUUUUGGGUAACAGAGGCUGAGAGAACAAAUGCAUCAUAUUCAUUAAUGAUGAGCAAUUAAACCUAACUGCCAAGUGAAUUUCACCCAUCUUCUUUACCCCAGUAGGAUGCAACACCAGUAGCGGAUAAGAAUAUGUGUAGACACGAUCUGUCUCGAGAGCUGAAAGACGGAUCCUGACCUUUCCAAUCCUCGAGUCCCUAGCCUGGCCUCCAGGUUUAUCUCCUCCAUGUAGAUGACAAUUAUCAAAUACACCAAUGGUUAUGACAGUGCAGGGAUCAAAUACUUCCCAAGUGUAUUGCUCGUUCCACUUGGGAGCAAGACUAUCUAUAAUUGUCCUUGUUUGGACCCACUUGUGCCCAUAUUUGGCAACACAAUAGGCAUCUGUCGAAGCCCUCCCAUCCUUUGUUUUCAUCGGCGGUAGUCCCUGAGCAUUCAGAAUACCCAAUUCAAGGACACCAAUGCUGGAUUUCUGCAACUGUUUUGCAGUUGGUCUAAGAUCACCACUACUGUAGUCUAUUGGUUCAUCCAGAACAUGGUACCCUCCUUCUAAAUAUAACCUCAUCUGAAUCCUGCUUGCAAAGCUUGUUUCCUUCUCCUUUUCUCCCUCAACAAUAGCAUGCUUUUCAAGAUUAUACCACUUGCUGUACAUAGGUCUGUGGUUCAACCUCCUCUCAAUGUACUGCAAAUGAAUAAGACAUUUUCCAAGUAUUACAUCUUUGUUUGGUGCAACUCUAUCUUCCACGCUCAAAAUCAAUGGCUCCUCAAAUGGUUCUGCUGCUACAAAAAUCAAAUCCUCAUUCCAAAUGGGAUUAAUAGUCUUGCUCCUGGAAACUUUGGUUAUCAAUUCCUGAUUUCCAAGGAUGGCCUUCACGUAAACUUCUGGAAACCUACUUCUGUCAGCGGAAAUUAAGUCCUGAGCCUCAAUCACAUUAACUCUAAGGUACCACAGCUUUGGUGAGAAGUAAAUCUUUGACCUUAUAUUCACAAGAGAAUCAGCACCACUGACAGUGGCUGCAUCCGAAUGCCAAGAUUCUGCAAAGGCUUCAUCAGCUUGAGUACCCAUCCAAACAGCCAUCAUCAACUCUCCUUUAACUUUGCUACCACUUCCGUCCUCCAACCUAUACCACUGCGGAGCAAGAGGACUAUCUGGGGGGACCCUUUUAGGGAUCUCAUUCAAAUCAAACAUAACACGACCAACAGAAUCAUCCUUAUCUUUCACGUUCACCUCAAGAACGGAAACCUGAAUCUGAUCCAUUGAAAAUGCAAACACCUGAUUCCAUUCAGGAUUCGUUUUCUUCACAAAAUGACGAGUUGUACCACUAUAGUUUCCCAGCCUAACCUCAACAUAAGGAUCAAGAUCCUUCCCAGGUAAAUCUUUCGCUUUCACCACCCGGACAUAAAGAUACUGCAUUUGCUCAACCAAAUCAUAGGUCCUAGUAAACAUAUCACCAGUAACCUUCCCUCCAUCAAGGUGGGCUGAAAAAUCUUCUUGAGGUGGUCUCUGCAUUUUUAAACCUUUCUACUUCUCCACCACAAUUUAGCCAAAUGUCCAACAGAUAACAAAACAAAUCCUAAAUAAUAUCUCUGAGGAACAACUCAAAACUACACUAAUACUCAAGAAACUUCAUAUACAACACAAUCCAAGUUUGUUUUAUCCUAAUUCUAACUUAAGGUUUAAAAAGAACCUCAUGAAGGAUAACCCCAAACUGCCAAAAUCAUUCACAAUCUCAGAUCUGGUUCAGCUGAAUGCUUCACCCUGCAAAACAUUUUUUAAGCUUAAAAAACCAUAUUUAUACAAAUAAGAUAUAGCAAGUACAAUGAAUAAAGUUUAUCAACAAACUCAGAGGUGGUCAGGUGAACACCCUUCACUGAAAUAUUAUAUCGUGUAUAUAAGUAUAAAUGGUUAAAUAUCACACUUUGCACACAGUUUUGGGCUAAAAUCAUCCUUGAAGUAUAACCCAAACUUAGUAUACAUCCUUAUACUAUAAUUAUGAACAAAAACAUCUUUUAACUAUACCAAACUUGACAACAAGCAUCCUUCUGUUAAUUUUUGUUAAAAAACUAAGAGCUGAAAUUAAAAAAUGUGUCAUUGACAAUACUAAGUUGCCUUGCCUUCAAGUUGGAAAUACACAACAACAAAAAUAUACUUAGGGCCUGUUUGGAAGGACACCCUGGUAAUUAGAGUCGAUGAAAGCUUGAAAUGUAAAAAUGAUUUCAUUUUAAGUUGAAUUUUCUCCUACUCCCUCCUUUUAUUUUUCUGCUAUUUUGUUCACUUCAUAUCAAAUUAAACAAAAAUAUUACACAAUUUGAUUUUCAAAAUUUUGGUACGUUUAUUCAUAAAAAAAUAUUAAUAUUACGCAGUGUGAAUUUAAAAUUUUAGUGCACCCAUUCAUCAAAAAAAAAAAAUUGCUUAUGUAAUUUUUGAACAUGCUUCAUGAAAUUUCUGACUGUCCACUUAGUCAACUCAAUCAAAAAAUACCCUUCUCCCAUACCAUAAAAAGAGGGAAAAAAUAAUUAAAACUUUCUAAUGUCAAGAUUAUAGCUCAACAAAUACCAAGAACGUAAAAAAAAAAAUAGAUUUUUCAAGAAGAUAUUUAUAAGUAACUUAUAAAUUCGAAACUAAAAAUUAUAAAUCGGUAACACUUAACUUUUGACCCUUUAUUUGGGGUUUAUUUUCAGCCUUAAACUUUUUGCGUUUACAAAUACUUUUAAAACUUAAAAAAAAAAAAAAGAAGCUAAAAAUCACUUAAAAUAAGCUAAUUUAAAUACACUUAUUUAAUUUUUUACAUGAAAUAAAUAAAUAUUAAAUAAGAGAAAUGAAUAUACCUUGAAGGGUUCAUGGGAGGUGAGUGAAAGAUGGUAUUUUUGCUGAUAAGUUUCUAAAGAUUGGAAUUUUGAGGAGAAAAAAACAAAAAGGUUUUGGUUGUUUUUUGGUAUCAAACUGAAGGAGAAUGGUUUAGAGAGGGAAAAAAAAUUAAGAGACAACGAAAAAUUAGUCUGACAUGGUGGGUGAGGGAUUAUUUUUAAUAAAAAAUGUGUUGGACUAGAAUAACUAAUAAAAAUAAGUUAUAAAUAAAAAUUAUGAGUGGUGAUGGCUGCAACUUGCAAUGGAAAAAUGGUGAUGGGAGCUUUCUGUCAAAGAAGAAGAAGAUAUAAAAUCUUUUCUUUUUUUGCUAAAAAAUUAUCCUUUUCACGGUCACACACUUUAUUACGUAGGUAUAAAUCUUAAUUGAGGUGUUUAAGUAAAAUAUGCGAACAUGACUAUCUAUGACCUAAGCCUUAAAUAAAAAAUUUGAAAAUUAUCUUCAUUUAUAUAAUAGUUUCAGAUCUAUACCAAUGCUCUAUCACGAAGUCUCCAUUUUUUCCAAUUCUCCUAACUGGCAGCGGCAAUCCGGUGGCAAAUCGAUGGUGGACUGGUAAUUUAUGAUUUCAUUUAUCUAUAAUUGAGAUGCGAAUUUUUUUUGAAUCAGUAUCCUACAUCUAAUUAAAGUGAUGAUUUGGAGUUGAAUAAUUAAAAUUUAAUUACAAACAAAUAAGACUACUAAACAUAAAAGCAGUAGUUCAUUUUUUCCUAACCUAACUUUAAAUAUAAGAAAAAUAGAAAAUCAUAAUUUUGGAUAUUCUAGAGUCUUUUAGUGAAAGAUAAAAAGUUGAAGCAUUUCUGAGUCUUAGCACUUUUAGUUAUGUGAUUAUAGAAAGAUUUUAAUUAUGAUGAGAUAGAUUUGAUAUGACGGGGAAAUUCUUCAAAUAAGAUAGGUAAAACGCUCUCUUCGAAAGAGAUAUAUACACUACAUCAAAAAUGAUAUUUAGCAACAGUUAGAUAAUGAUAAUAGUUUAAUUGCCACUAAAUAUAUAUAGUUUUAGUGGUAAUUAACACUCUUUGUAAAUGUAUCUAAAGCCUAUAGCGACAUUAGAUCUAAUAAUAAUUAACUAAUGUGAGUAAAAAUACUUGUUCAAAGGGAUUGGCAGUGCUUUUGUAAGCAUACUCAUAGAGAAGAGAGAAGGUAAGAUCGCGGCCGACUGGUUUGGGCAUCUGAAGCUCUGAAGCAGCCGCCGGGUUAUCAACAGCUUUUGACCUGUCUGCCUGGACAUAAAAAUACCUAAAAAAGAAGAAAGAAAAAGGAAAACGUUAUUGUAAAUGGCACGAGAAAUGGACUCACUCUACAAAUAAUUGUGUAGAUUUCAGUCCGUUAAAAGUAGUUGUUUUUGUUACAGUGAUACUUGUACUGCUUCUGCCUCUCAAGGACUUUAUGCAUUGAAUUCCUUUAUACCUUUAGUCUAACAACUAUCUGUUGGUUGCAAUCAGUAUGAAAGCAUCUGAGUUGCUCUCUCCUUCUUCCCCUUUGCAGAAGCAUCACAGAUUCUUUUAGUCACCAACUCACUGAGAGAAGAGAUGUCUUGGGAAAAUUCGCAACGACUGUUCAAUAUUGUAACCAUCCCUAAAAUUUCGAUAGACAAACUCCAGCUCUUCACACUGGAACGCGAAUUCCACAAAUUUUCAUUAGCUUCCAGAGAUUCACAGAUGAACCUAACAUGCUAGAUGUCACUCAGAAAGUCCAAACUCUGUUUGAAGAUGCUGCAUUUAUCCUUUCUCCACUGCACCUAACUGACAACUUUGAUGUCUGUGCCUCUGAGGUGCAAAACAAGAUUUUGUUAAUCAAAAAGGAAAUAAGAGCCAAAUACUCCUUUCCUAAAAUAUCAUUACAACUUUCAGCCAAGUUUGUUAGUGAUAUCAUCCAUUCUGUGCUAGAGAAUAUUGGUGGUCUAGUGAAGAUUCAUGAUCCGUAUUCACCUCUUUAUGUUCCCGAAACAGUAAAGGAACAUAUAGAAGAUGUUUCAAAGGAAUUGAAAUUGCUGAGAAAUUUCGUCUACUUUGUUUCACAGAGGUUCAUAGAGCAUCAAAGUUAUUCUUUUCAUCUUAUUUUCUUCACUCAUGUUUUAGCUGUGUCUGUCCACACAUCAAUGCUUCUCUGGUUGUAUGUACCGGACUUGGCUCCAGAGCAAAUGAAUGUUAUGCUUUCUGAUUUCUUGCGAAUGAGGAUUAAGCCGAUUCAACCAUGCAUCCGCAAGAUCUAUCUUGAUGUCUUGCUAUCUUUAAAGUCGACAAUACAAUCAGGAUGGUAUCCCAACAUCCGAAAUGAGGAUGCAGUUGUACAGCGAAGGGGGAUUUUUGGAGACCAUCCUACACAAUAUGGUGGAGGUACCAACUAAUAGUAACUCUAGUCAGAGAGUUGCUUUGAAGGAUCACUUGGAAAUCCUUCAAAAGAUGCUCAACCUUUUGAGAGCCAAUAUCUUCCGUAUGCCAAUAAAAGAUCUUGAAUUUCUUCUUCGAGAUAUAGAGAUUGUGGUUAUUGAUGUUGGACUUAUGGUAUACUCAGUAUAUGAAGAUGAGGAGGAGAAGCAAGACAUGGCACUGGGAGGAGUGAACAUCACACAAGUUCUUGACUUUUCAAGCAACAUUCAACGUCUAAGCAUAGACAUCUACCUCACCAUUCGGAAGGCGUUCCAAUCUAAUUUGCCUAGGAUUCAUGGACUAGGCUAUGUUGAUAGCCUUUUAAACAACCUGAAGAAGUUCCAAAUUCUCCACUCAGAUUCACUAGCUUCUGUCAUGGACAAACUUCAAUUACUUCAGAAGGAAUUUGAGAGCUUGCAACCUUUUCUACGGGCUGUUGCAGAAGAGCGACACAAUGACCUUGACGAAAUUCAACAUUGUGCUACACAAUUGAUUGGCAAAGCACAUGAGGUAGAAUAUAUAGUUGAUGCUUGUAUAAGGGAAGAAGCUCCUGUCUGCUGCCUCGAGCAUUGGAUCUUGGAUAUCAUAGAGGAUAUUACUCUUAUCAGAGAAGAGGUAGCAGAGAUUCGUGAAAAGAAAAUGGAUUUGGUAGCAUUGAACACUGUCCCAGUUCAUACAUCAAAUUUGGCAAGGUCUCCAAUGAUGAAUGAAGAAAUUAUUGGUUUUGAGGAUGUCAUAGAAAAGUUAAGAGACCAACUAAUAAAAGGCA